UAGGGAAUCUUCGGCAAUGGGGGCAACCCUGACCGAGCAACGCCGCGUGAGUGAAGAAGGUUUUCGGAUCGUAAAGCUCUGUUGUAAGAGAAGAACGUGUGUGAGAGUGGAAAGUUCACACAGUGACGGUAACUUACCAGAAAGGGACGGCUAACUACGUGCCAGCAGCCGCGGUAAUACGUAGGUCCCGAGCGUUGUCCGGAUUUAUUGGGCGUAAAGCGAGCGCAGGCGGUUUAAUAAGUCUGAAGUUAAAGGCAGUGGCUUAACCAUUGUUCGCUUUGGAAACUGUUAAACUUGAGUGCAGAAGGUGAGGGUGGAAUUCCAUGUGUAGCGGUGAAAUGCGUAGAUAUAUGGAGGAACACCGGUGGCGAAAGCGGCUCUCUGGUCUGUAACUGACGCUGAGGCUCGAAAGCGUGGGGAGCAAACAGG
rnacentral:rRNA from 1 species